AUUGAACGCUGGCGGCAGGCCUAACACAUGCAAGUCGAACGAGUGGCGGACGGGUGAGUAAUGUCUGGGAAACUGCCCGAUGGAGGGGGAUAACUACUGGAAACGGUAGCUAAUACCGCAUACCAUCGGAUGUGCCCAGAUGGGAUUAGCUAGUGGGUGGGGUAACGGCUCACCUAGGCGACGAUCCCUAGCUGGUCUGAGAGGAUGAACAGCACCACGGUAACGGAGCCAAGGUCCAGACUCCUCCGGGAGGCAGCAGUGGGGAAUAGUGUAAUAUGGGCGCAAGCCUGAUGCAGCCAUGCCGCGUGUAUGAAGAGGGCCUUCGGGUUGUAAAGUAAUUUCAGCGAGGAGGCGUUACUCGCAGAAGAAGCACCGGCUAACUCCGUGCCAGCAGCCGCGGUAAUUC
rnacentral:rRNA from 1 species